AUGGAAGCACGCGCCGAGGUGACAGCGAUGCUCACUGCGUCUGUGUUGUGAUAGAGUAUUUGUCAAAUAAUCAGUCUCAUCAACAUGUGAGGGGAACAAGAUAUGGGCGAGCAAUCUAACACUAAGGUGCCCUACAAGAAGCUCCUAAUGCACGAUCAGAACAGCUUGUAGCUCCACUAGAUCGGCCAGGAAACCCGCCAGAAACACAGUUAGCACGUGGACAUCAUUCAACAUCCAAAUCCAAAAUGGUCGAAAGGAACAUCACCAGCUGACCAACAACAACUGGGAGGAUCACUAAGAUUGGAAGAAUGACAAUGGAAGAAUAGAAGAAGAGGAGGAAGAAACAGAUGAGCAGCAACUUGAGAAACUAAGAGGAGAAGGACAGGAGGAAAAGGAGGUGAAAAAGAAACCAGAUAGGGAAGCUGGUGAGGGUGCUGGUACAGCUACAGCCAUAGCCAGUCCCAGGAAACAUGCCAGGUCAGAAGGAGUGGCCACAGCACUUGAAGGUCACAAGCAGGGAAAGGAUCGUCAAGCAUAAGAGCACACAAUUUAAGUGCGCUGCCUACCAGGCACAGGAUAUGACUGUGCUAAAGUGUGAUCUUGUAGAAGAUUAUAAGGCACUGUCUCAGUAGCGAUGUGGUGUCCCCAAGCUGUACGUGUCACCACAGCACCAUCAGCAAGCUGAGCAGUGACACUGGAGGCAGAUCCUGGAAAUGCAUUUUUAUUUAUGAAAUGCAAGUUAUUUUAAUAAAAAUCUCUCAUCAACUUCA